GCUCACGCCCGGUCGUACU
rnacentral:snRNA from 1 species